UACGGAGGGUGCAAACGUUGCUCGGAAUCAUUGGGCGUAAAGCGCACGUCGGCGGUUCGGUAAGUCGGAUGUGAAAGCCCUCGGCUCAACCGAGGAAGUGCAUUCGAAACUGCCAGACUUGAGUAUGGAAGAGGGUCGCGGAAUUCCCGGUGUAGAGGUGAAAUUCGUAGAUAUCGGGAGGAACACCAGUGGCGAAGGCGGCGACCUGGGCCAAUACUGACGCUGAGGUGCGAAAGCGUGGGGAGCAAACAGG
rnacentral:rRNA from 1 species